ACGUGAUGAUUCGCCGUGCAUUCCUGUGGUAUCUGAUGCAUCUUGCAUGAACACGAAAAAACGCAACGAGCGCCCUUCGCGACGAAGCGGUGCGAACUGAGU
rnacentral:snoRNA from 1 species